UUUAGUGGUUUUGCUGCCAAGCACUGGGGGCGCGGUCUUUUCCAUGUAAAAACAAACCCUCGCCCAGGAUUCACAGAAACAGACGGUUACAUACCUGCUGUAGAAAGUCACUCGCAGGUCAACGCAUGCCUUCUGCAGAGUGUGGGAGGAAUACUGCGGCAGUGUGCAGCACCACUGCAGCUUAGUCCUUGAACAUGCAACAUACGCAAACGGCAAACAACAUCACUGCCCCUGAUGCAGAAGCUGCUGCACAUGUGCGAGGAUAGAUUGGUUGCCAUUACCCCAACUUUACAAUAUUGCAAUUCUCACAUUUGAUUUUGUGUUACCCUUAGUGUGUAUAAACAGAAAUGUCUGAUACAAACAGUGCUUUCAUUAUACUGUACCCAGGCAAUAUAUCACUCCAAGCACAACAUAACCCCUAUAUCCUUUAUAAAAAUACCAUUCCAAUAAUAUUCAAGAGCUUUAGUGAACGGUUACAAAAGUGGUCUUUAACUGCAGCACACGUAGCUUGCUUGUAAAGGGUUUUAAAAGCAUUCCCUGCGUGUCAGUGAAGCAGAGCCGCUCUGUUGUCUGUGAAAGGAGGCUUGUUUUGGUGGAGAGGCUGCAGCUCUCUGGCCAGUGAAAAUGCUUUGUUUUGUGCCUUUUGAAAGUGUGUGUUUGUAUUUUGUGUUGUUGUUGUUUCCCUGGGCGGAUGUUAACUGGACAAGCUGUUAAAGCGUGUUUUGGAUGCUGGGGUACAGUGUGCUGACACAGACAGCAGUGCUUUCACUGUAUCUACCCUUUUCAUAUCCCGUUCAAUAAACCCAUACUGUGAAUAUCCAGUAUCUCAAUGCAAGUGUGAGAGUCCUGUGAAAGGAUGAGUGAUGUGCAGAGGGCUUUGAUCGACAUACUUUCAGUGUGUGUGUGUGUGUGUGCGCGCUUGCGUGUCUGUUUCUAAAGCUGCAUUUCCACGAUGCACAAAGAGUGCCAUCAUGAAUCAGCCGGUCUGAGAUGCCCCAUCUUACUGUACUCUGGUCUGCUGUACAUGCAAAGAGGUCACAGCGAAACAACACAAGCAUCUGAGCGGAAUUAAUCUCUAGCUGGCUCUGGAGCUGUCUGCGCAGUUCUGCAUUACGACAGGCUGUAUUACAGUGGACUUCCUGCUUGUAUUGUUUAAUUGCUGUGCUUUUAAAACUUGGCAGUUAAACAGAGGGAGUGCUUUAUUUAAGAUGGAAAGACCUAGAACGGUGGCUCCACAAUGCGUGGUUUGAAGUGGAAGAUCACGCUGUACCUUUAUUGCACAAGCCCCAGGCACUGCUGUGGCCUGCUGUGUUUGUUUAAGCUGUUUAUUUUUAUCAGAAGGAUGCACUUUGUGCUCCAUGGUGUGUGCAACGUUUGUUUUUUAUCAAGCAAAGCACUUUUAUGGGCAGCUUCGUUUCUGAAGUGUCGGUGAUGUUUCGGGAUUGGGCAGUGAGUUCUAGAAGGUCACAUUAACAGUGGCAAUGCUGUGUGCACGAUACACCGAGGGGAACAACACGUCUGCAUGACUGAUUGAUGAAAACACCAGAUCUUAAAAUGACACUUGACAGAUUUGGCAGGCAGGCAGGGGGACGAGGUGUGCGGUGGUGGUGUGUUCGGUCGAUUUCCCGGAAAUUCAAGCACUUCUAGAUCAAUCCCUGCUUAAAAAUACAUUAUUCCCACUUUCUUCAGACAAGCGCAUCACUGCUCCCGAAUUGAAAAAGUUAUUUUUUGUUUUUUUGAAGAUGACAUAAUGUUAGUGACGGUGAAUCAGAAGCGGUUUUUAAGUUACCAAAUAUUGCAUCGGCGUGUCCGAGAGGGAUUUUACUGGCUGUUGUGGGAGCCUUGGGGAUUGCGUCAGUUAGACCCAGUUCCUCUUUUCAUGAUUAAUUGCAUCAGAUUGAUGGAGUCCCUGCUGAGACAGUAUUGUGCAAUAAAAUAUUAAAGUUUAAUCAGUAUGUUGGGAUUCAAACAGUCAUUUGUGCUUUUCUGCUUACUGGAGCUGUACAUGUCAUGGCUGUUUCUGUCAUUUGGCAAGAAGGCUUUCUUAUAUCAUUCUUGUGUAAUUGUUUUAUUACAUUUAAUUGGGUUUUUCUUUAAAUACCCUUUUUAAUAAGAUAAGCUAUAUGUGUAUUUGAAAGAAAAGGAGCAUGCUAAAAUGUUCUUGAAUUGACGUUGUGUUAUAGGCUGAAGUAAAUAUACAGAAUGUCGUAAAAAAAGUCAAGCAGCCACCAGGUAUCUGCUGUUAAGCUUAUAUAUUUAUUAUUAUAAUCUCAUUGUGAAUUAAAACAGUGACGCGCAUUCACGCAGACGUGUAGAGGCCACUGGCCUUCGUCAAUGCACUAACAGAAUUGUGUUACUGCACUGAUGAAAGCUAUGUGUGUAACAAUCAUUAGCCAAGUAAAAAGAUUCAGACUUGCUGUCAGGCUGAACACGCACAGGCACGUAGAAAAAUUGUGCAGUGGUCUAUUCCAGCAACUCGAUUGCCAGUCGAAAAUGUGUUUAAACUCAAGCUGUCAAUUUGAGAUGCCAAGAAAAAAUUGCUUAAAUUGCUUGUGUGUCUCCGGCCUUAGACCUGUGCUAUGUGGAAGAUUUAGAUAUUUGAAAAAAGUAUGUGUUUUUCCUUCUUUGAAAGAUUUCCCAACAGUAGAGAAAUCUGCCGUAGGGGAGGGUGGAACAUGUUAUCCUCAAUUUCCAACUCAUCCCCUCUCCACCGCACAGCUCACCCCUCCAGCUGUGCUCUGCACCCUCUGACCCCUUCAAGGGGAAGUGUGUUUGCUCGUCAUGCAGUAGGAAGGGCAGGGCCUGUAUAAAUAGCGCUUCCUGCAGUACGCCACAGCUCUGUUCACUGAAUGAGAGUGUGUGAGUCCGUUAGUCAGCCACAACAGCUGCUAGAAGUUUCUGGGCUGGGCUGAAGUUUGGAAAGGAGUCAGGAGAACUUUCUCUGUGUGGAGCUUACUAAGCACCCAGCACCCUCUGCCUUCCUCAACUCUUUGUGUGACUUUAAUAUUUCAAGCUUUAGAGAUCUUUUAGAUCAGUUUGCUAAACCAUCAGAAAGGUUACACUUCCCCCAGCUGGCUCUGAGACGCAGGCUGGGUCAGCUGAGCUGUAUGUCCAAGCCUGCCCUGAAGCUGCGCUCCUGGCCUCUCUCCUUCCUCUAUUACUUCCUGCCCUUCGGUGCUCUUAAACCCCUCUCCAAAGUGGGAUGGAGGCCGAGCAGCAGGGUAAGUGUUCUCCUCCCCGGGACGCGCCUGUAUUUACUGUACAUGCGAGUAUCGCUGCACUGCCUCUGUGUCUGCCUCUGUUACCCCAGCAUCCAGAACUCUCACGCAAACCUAAACAAAUAAUUCAUCCGCUUUUUUACUUCCUUAGUGUGCCUCGUUUCCACCGGCCAAAAAAAAUGUUGUGAAGUUUAGAUUUGCCGAAGCUGCGGCUCCAAAGCCAUGCGUUUUGUUUUUUUGGUUUGUUUUCUCCUAGGUCCUCUGUUUUGUACUGCUGUAAAACAUGAGCAAGAAAUGUUCAUGCUUAAGUAAGGCCUUGCUUUAAAUGACUUGCUGUAGCUGUUUUUCUCUCAUCAGGUUUAAACCAGGUUAAGCUGUAUAUGGUUGAUUCUUCAGCCCCCCUGCACUAUAGUUCAUUGUAGUUCUUAAAUGCCAUACAGCGCAUGAUUCACAUGAUUCUCUUAGCCCUAAGCACAGGUGUUCUGCAUGACAGACGUUCUUAGUUGUGUAAACUUGCUGUUACAUUGUCCCUGGAAUGUUUGCACAGCAGGAAACCGUGAACUGGGAACAGUGGGAUGCACAGCAGGAAACCCUGAACUGGGAACAGUAGAAUGUAUUCUCCACUUACCCUUCUUCAUUGUGGUUGGAAGUGGUCCGUCGUUGAUUUAAGUCUGCAUGUGCUCUGAGCUCAGUUUCAAACACGAAUAAUCAGCUCUGCAGUGUAACAGGCUGCAGGUUCAUAUGCAUAAGUUGUUUCCUUUAAACACUUGUGCCAGAGACUCUCUUUCUAGUUAAUAGAUAGUCAAACAAAUGAAGGCUAUUUAUAGUAUGGCUUGCUGUGUGUGUGUGUGUGUGUGGAUCUUUCUCCGUGUGUGUUUGCAGUGUGUGUGU